UCAAAGAACACAGAACAUUUUAUGCCAUUUAUGAAACUAGAGCCCUCAUGGGAAAGGUAGAAACAUGCCUGGACAGAUGGAUCAUGUAAGCAGAGAGAUG
rnacentral:sRNA from 1 species